UGUAGUUUAGUGGUAGAGUACUUGCCUAGCACGUAAGAAACCCUGGGUUCAAUCCCUAGCA
rnacentral:tRNA from 1 species